GAGUUUGAUCUUGGCUCAGGAUAAACGCUGGCGGCGUGCUUCAGGCAUGCAAGUCGAACGGACCUUCGGGUCAGUGGCGGACGGGUGAGUAACACGUAAGUAACCUGCCCAGAAGUGGGGAAUAACUAGCCGAAAGGUUGGCUAAUACCGCAUGUGAUGGCUCUCCCCUGGGGGAACCAUGAAAGAUUUAUUGCUUCUGGAGGGGCUUGCGGUCGAUUAGCUAGUUGGUGGGGUAAUGGCCUACCAAGGCGACGAUCGAUAGCUGGUCUGAGAGGACGGUCAGCCACACGGGGACUGAGAUACGGCCCCGACUCCUACGGGAGGCAGCAGCUAGGAAUCUUGGGAAUGGGCGAAAGCCUGACCCAGCAACGCCGCGUGGGCGAUGAAGGCCUUCGGUCGUAAAGCCCUUUUGCAGGGGAAGAUUAUGACGGUACCCUGCGAAUAAGACCACGGCUAACUACGUGCCA
rnacentral:rRNA from 1 species